GGGAUAAAUCACACGCCCGCGAGCGUGCUGGGAGGCGGACUUCGGGGCCAUCCUAUUUGAUCCGCAAAAACAGGGCAGGAGGGAGAUAACGGAGUGAGACGGUGAAGCAGCUGGGCUACACGGGCAAGUGCCUCACUCCAGUACAUCGGGGAGUUAUUCGUGCUCAGGACCAGCUGGACCAGUUGCUGGUUCUGCCUGUGCUGGUACUGAGCUCCUCUGAUGUGCUGACUGCCGUUACCUCGGAGUAAUGUCGACCUCCUCUACCUGCGGACUCUUGCUGAACUUCUGUUCCGCCAGCCAGGAAUCACCUUCACCUGCUGUUUUCAGCUCGAAGGCUGUUGCCUCCCUAUGGAUGCUGGCUUCCUCUCCAUACUGCCCUUCUCCUCCUUCUGCAUCUGGAAGUUGUAUGUAGAAGACAGAGGAGGCAUGAACUUUCCCAUUUUGCAGUUGAGGAACCAAGGCUCAGACACAUUGAGUGAGUUGACCAGAGCCCUGCAAAUCCUUACGGUUGUAUUGUGCUUGACCAUUUCAGAAUGAUCUCAGAUCCAUUAUCUCAUUUGAGAUAGACUCUUACAUUCUUUCUAUGCAAUGAAUUAUGAAGUCUUAUCCAUUCUUCCACAUGCGCUUUUGCACCUGUCAGAAUCUUUCAUUUCUUAAGAAUCAGAGUAUAUCCAGCUUUUCCUGACUUCUAACCAGAAGGAAUCUACCCCAUUUCGAACCUCCAAUAGCAAGUAAUGUUUCAAUCUCAUGGCCCUUGCUGCAUGCUUCUUUCAGUGUGCUAUUUUCUGUAUCUGAUCUAUUGACAUUUCUUGAUGACAAAUCUGGGAAAUUAUUACUCUUUAUAUACUUUCAAAGCUUACAACGUUUUCUUACAGUAGUUGCCCAAGAAACACUUGUCAAAAUAAAAGAAUAAGAUAUUUCCCUUUUCUUUCUAUU
rnacentral:lncRNA from 1 species